UCCGUCGACUUUAAAAAUCG
rnacentral:tRNA from 2 species